rnacentral:lncRNA from 1 species
UUAAGGAAGAUUACUUUUCAAAAAAAAUGAAGAAAGUAAGCAAAACAAAGUGGAAGCUAAGUUAAGAGCUAAACAAGAGCAAGGAAAAAAAAACAAUACUUAGCAGAAGAUGCUGAAAUGAAAUCUCUAGAAGAAAAGAUUGGAUGCUUGCUGAAAUUUUUGAUUGAUUUAGAUGAUCAGACCUGCAGAGAAAAUUGAACAUCCUUUUCUCACAUCAUGGUGAAAUAAAAUGGAUAGACUUUGUCAGAGAAGCAAAAAAGGGAAUUUUUCUCUUUAAAGAAAAAACUAAGGUCUUG